GCCGCGGUAAAACCAGCACCUCAAGUGGUCAGGAUGAUUAUUGGGCCUAAAGCAUCCGUAGCCGGCUCUGUAAGUUUUCGGUUAAAUCCAUGUGCUCAACGCAUGGGCUGCCGAAAAUACUGCAUAGCUAGGGAGUGGGAGAGGUAGACGGUACUCAGUAGGAAGGGGUAAAAUCCUUUGAUCUAUUGAUGACCACCUGUGGCGAAGGCGGUCUACCAGAACACGUUCGACGGUGAGGGAUGAAAGCUGGGGGAGCAAACCGGAUUAGAUACCCGGGUAGUCCCAGCUGUAAACGAUGCAGACUCGAUGAUGCAUUGGCAUAUAGCCAGUGCAGUGUCGCAGGGAAGCCGUUAAGUCUGCCGCCUGGGAAGUACGUACGCAAGUAUGAAACUUAAAGGAAUUGGCGGGGGAGCACGGUCAUAGCUG
rnacentral:rRNA from 1 species